UACGUAGGUGGCGAGCGUUGUCCGGAUUUAUUGGGUUUAAAGGGUGCGUAGGCGGCUUUGUAAGUCAGUGGUGAAAUACUCCAGCUUAACUGGAGGGGUGCCAAUGAUACUGCAGGGCUUGAGUACAGAUGAGGUAGGCGGAAUUGACGGUGUAGCGGUGAAAUGCAUAGAUAUCGUCAAGAACACCGAUAGCGAAGGCAGCUUACUGGGCUGUAACUGACGCUGAGGCACGAAAGUGUGGGGAUCAAACAGG
rnacentral:rRNA from 1 species